rnacentral:rRNA from 1 species
GACGAACGCUGGCGGCGUGCUUAACACAUGCAAGUCGAGCGGAGCGGCGAACGGGUGAGUAACGCGUGAGUAACUGCCCCCCUCUCUGGGAUAACAGUUGGAAACGGCUGCUAAUACCGGAUAGUGGGGGAUGACUCGCGUCCUAUCGGCUUGUUGGUGGGGUAGUGGCCUACCAAGGGGACGACGGGUAGCCGGCCUGAGCGGGCGACCGGCCACAUGGGGCUGAGAUACGGCCCAAACUCCUACGGGAGGCAGCAGUGGGGAAUAUUGCACAAUGGGGGAAACCCUGAUGCAGAAACGCCGCGUGCGGGAUGACGGCCUUCGGGUUGUAAACCGCUUUCAGCCAUGACGCGUUACCAACAGAAUAAGCACCGGCUAACUUCGUGCCAGCCACCGCGGUAAUUC